rnacentral:rRNA from 1 species
AUUAGCUAGUUGGAGGGGUAACGGCCCACCAAGGCAAUGAUCAGUAGCCGGUCUGAGAGGAUGAACGGCCACAUUGGGACUGAGACACGGCCCAAACUCCUACGGGAGGCAGCAGUGGGGAAUCUUCCGCAAUGGACGAAAGUCUGACGGAGCAACGCCGCGUGAGUGAUGACGGCCUUCGGGUUGUAAAGCUCUGUUAAUCGGGACGAACGGUCUUUGUGUGAAUAAUGCAGAGAAUUGACGGUACCGGAAUAGAAAGCCACGGCUAACUACGUGCCAGCAGCCGCGGUAAUACGUAGGUGGCAAGCGUUGUCCGGAAUUGUUGGGCGUAAAGCGCGCGCAGGCGGUUUUGUAAGUCUGUCUUAAAAGUUCGGAGCUCAACUCCGGAAUGGCAUUGGAAACUGGUUAACUUGAGUGCAGUAGAGGUAAGUGGAACUCCAUGUGUAGCGGUGGAAUGCGUAGAUAUAUGGAAGAACACCAGUGGCGAAGGCGGCUUACUGGACUGUAACUGACGUUGAGGCUCGAAAGUGUGGGUAGCAAACAGGAUUAGAUACCCUGGUAGUCCACACCGUAAACGAUGAACACUAGGUGUUAGGAGGUUUCCGCCUCUUAGUGCCGAAGCUAACGCAUUAAGUGUUCCGCCUGGGGAGUACGACCGCAAGGUUGAAACUCAAAGGAAUUGACGGGGACCCGCACAAGCGGUGGAGCAUGUGGUUUAAUUCGAAGCAACGCGAAGAACCUUACCAGGUCUUGACAUCCUUUGAAGCUUUUAGAGAUAGAAGUGUUCUCUUCGGAGACAAAGUGACAGGUGGUGCAUGGUCGUCGUCAGCUCGUGUCGUGAGAUGUUGGGUUAAGUCCCGCAACGAGCGCAACCCUUAUUGUUAGUUGCCAGCAUUCAGAUGGGCACUCUAGCGAGACUGCCGGUGGCAAACCGGAGGAAGGCGGGGACGACGUCAGAUCAUCAUGCCCCUUAUGACCUGGGCUACACACGUGCUACAAUGGCGUAUACAACGAGUUGCCAACCCGCGAGGGUGAGCUAAUCUCUUAAAGUACGUCUCAGUUCGGAUUGUAGUCUGCAACUCGACUACAUGAAGUCGGAAUCGCUAGUAAUCGCGGAUCAGCACGCCGCGGUGAAUACGUUCCCGGGUCGUGCACUCACCGCCCGUCA